CUACAGACACUGUUUAUAUGAUAUGUGAACACCAAGAACACCUCUCCUCUGUUAAUUCAGGGAACAGGAAGUUAUAAAGGAAACAGGAAGUUCAGGGUUCUUUCUCUAAUCUGCACACAGCACGCAGCAACAGAAAUGUAAGUUCCUGUACUGAAGUUAAGGUUUAGCAUUAGCAUGUAGCUUAGCAUUAGCAACAACUUGUAUUAGUUUAUUGUUUGAAUUUAUACAGAACUUUGGUAAUGACUAAACUUCUUGUGUCUUGUAGUUUUCACUCCUUCAAUCUGGUGAAGAAAUGAAAAGAGGAGAUCAUCUCUUUCCUCCCUUCAGCUGUUUGUACAGGUUGCUCCUCCUCGUAUUUGAUCCGCUCGUGGCAACAAUAUUAUUUGACUUUUCUUUCACAAAGCUGAACUGUACCUGUAGGUCUGUCUUGAUGAGCGAGGCUCCUGCUUGGACCAGAUAAUGACAGAUAGUUCUUUGAGACAGGGACGCAG